GCGGUGUCACCAUGUUUGGAAUAAGACUUUUCCAUAUAUGGAAUUCCUGGCCAUAUAUGGAAGGAAGGAAGUAUUCAAGUAUCAGAGACUUAUGACAUCACACCAUAAUGACCCUUGACCUAGUGUGUUGCUAGCACCCAUAAGUAGCAGAGGUAAAACCUACUCUGCCCAUGUGAGCGGUAUGUCUGUAAUGUUGGAUAAUGUGCAAGAAUGUCGACAACCAUUGUCCUCAAAUGGUAAUCAAGUGAUAUUACGAGAUUAUGGCCUCCCAUAUGUUUGAAUGAGAAUGACCAGUCACGCAUCACUAUGUGUAAAUUUGACACUGCCCACUUAAGUAAGAAACGCUAGUUUUAAACAUCUAGGUACCAGAUCUUGAGUUAAUUGGUCAGUGGGAAUACAUUUCGAGGGAAGAAGGCCAGUCUAAUCAACUCACGAAUCCUGUGAUUACCAUCCAGUUAACAUCCAUAA